UGGUGAAUUUCCUGUCAUGAAUUACCGGAUAACCCAGGAAUUCAAGCCUCCCUUUCGUAUUAAUACUUUGAUUGAAGAAGCUGGAUCACUUAAGGCUGAAGUUAUCUUGAAAAUCCGUGCUGAAUUUCCUUCGGACAUUACUGCAAAUACAAUCUUGGUACAAAUGCCGCUGCCUACAUAUACAAGCAGAGUAAGCUUUGAGUUGGAACCUGGAACAGUUGGCCAAACAACUGAUUUUAAGGAAUCCAAUAAGAGGCUUGAGUGGAAUUUGAAGAAGGUUGUCGGUGGAUCAGACCAUACAUUACGUGCCAAGCUAACAUUUUCACAAGAGUCACAUGGAAAUAUCACCAAGGAAGCUGGACCAGUGAGCAUGACCUUCACAAUCCCAAUGUACAAUCCUUCAAGGCUUCAGGUGAAAUAUCUGCAAAUUGCAAAGAAGUCAAAGACAUAUAAUCCUUAUCGGUGGGUGAGAUAUGUGACUCAGGCCAAUUCAUAUGUUGCUCGUAUAUGAUGGCUGUUGAGACCUUUUCCAGCAUUACCCUCCUCGGUUUCUUCUUCUCUUUUUCACUUCUUCCUAAACAUCUUUUGCCCACUCCCUGUUGAGGUGUCUUGAGUUCUAAAUUGUCUUUUCUAACUCUGGUUUUGGGCUUUCAAUGUUUGUACUAUAUUGUCUAGAUAAUGAUGGAGGGCUCUUUGGUGAUUCUCAUUUUAAAAAAUUGUGCAACUAAUGGAAA
rnacentral:misc_RNA from 1 species